rnacentral:rRNA from 1 species
GACGAACGCUGGCGGCGUGCUUAACACAUGCAAGUCGAACGGAAAGGCCCUGCUUUUGUGGGGUGCUCGAGUGGCGAACGGGUGAGUAACACGUGAGUAACCUGCCCUUGACUUUGGGAUAACUUCAGGAAACUGGGGCUAAUACCGGAUAGGAGCUCCUGCUGCAUGGUGGGGGUUGGAAAGUUUCGGCGGUGGGGGAUGGACUCGCGGCUUAUCAGCUUGUUGGUGGGGUAGUGGCUUACCAAGGUUUUGACGGGUAGGCGGCGUGGGAGGGUGGACGGCGACAUUGGGACUGAGGGACGGCGCAGACGCCUACGGGAGGCAGCAGUGGGGAAUAUUGCACAAUGGGCGGAAGCCUGAUGCAGCAACGCCGCGUGCGGGAUGACGGCCUUCGGGUUGUAAACCGCUUUCGCCUGUGACGAAGCGUGAGUGACGGUAAUGGGUAAAGAAGCACCGGCUAACUACGUG